ACCUGCAGAAAAGCACCGGCUAACUACGUGCCAGCAGCCGCGGUAAUACGUAGGGUGCAAGCGUUGUCCGGAAUUAUUGGGCGUAAAGAGCUCGUAGGCGGUUUGUCGCGUCUGCUGUGAAAACCAGAAGCUCAACUUCUGGCCUGCAGUGGGUACGGGCAAACUAGAGUGCGGUAGGGGAGAACGGAAUUCCUGGUGUAGCGGUGGAAUGCGCAGAUAUCAGGAGGAACACCGAUGGCGAAGGCAGUUCUCUGGGCCGUUACUGACGCUGAGGAGCGAAAGCGUGGGGAGCGAACAGGAUUAGAUACCCUGGUAGUCCACGCCGUAAACGGUGGGUGCUAGCUGUGGGCCACAUUCCACGUGGUCCGUGACGAAGUUAACACAUUAAGCACCCCGCCUGGGGAGUACGGCCGCAAGGCUAAAACUCAAAGGAAUUGACGGGGGCCCGCACAAGCGGCGGAGCAUGCGGAUUAAUUCGAUGCAACGCGAAGAACCUUACCAAGGCUUGACAUAUAGAGGAAAAGUACAGAAAUGUGCUCCCCGUAAGGUCUCUAUACAGGUGGUGCAUGGUUGUCGUCAGCUCGUGUCGUGAGAUGUUGGGUUAAGUCCCGCAACGAGCGCAACCCUCGUCCUAUGUUGCCAGCACGUUAUGGUGGGAACUCAUGGGAUACUGCCGGGGUCAACUCGGAGGAAGGUGGGGAUGACGUCAAAUCAUCAUGCCCCUUAUGUCUUGGGCUUCACGCAUGCUACAAUGGCCGGUACAGAGGGCUGCAAUACCGUAAGGUGGAGCGAAUCCCAAAAAGCCGGUCUCAGUUCGGAUUGAGGUCUGCAACUCGACCUCAUGAAGUCGGAGUCGCUAGUAAUCGUAGAUCAGCAACGCUACGGUGAAUACGUUCCCGGGCCUUGUACACACC
rnacentral:rRNA from 1 species